AGGCUUUGAUCCUGGCUCAGAUUGAACGCUGGCGGCAUGCUUUACACAUGCAAGUCGAACGGUAACAGGUCUUCGGAUGCUGACGAGUGGCGAACGGGUGAGUAAUGCAUCGGAACGUGCCCAGUCGUGGGGGAUAACGCAGCGAAAGCUGUGCUAAUACCGCAUACGAUCUGCGGAUGAAAGCGGGGGACAUUCGGGCCUCGCGCGAUUGGAGCGGCCGAUGUCAGAUUAGGUAGUUGGUGGGGUAAAGGCUCACCAAGCCAACGAUCUGUAGCUGGUCUGAGAGGACGACCAGUCACACUGGGACUGAGACACGGCCCAGACUCCUACGGGAGGCAGCAGUGGGGAAUUUUGGACAAUGGGCGCAAGCCUGAUCCAGCAAUGCCGCGUGCAGGAAGAAGGCCUUCGGGUUGUAAACUGCUUUUGUACGGAACGAAAAGCUCUGGGUUAAUACCCUGGGGUCAUGACGGUACCGUAAGAAUAAGCACCGGCGUAAAAU
rnacentral:rRNA from 1 species